rnacentral:siRNA from 1 species
GCUAUUUACUGGUUCUAAGCAA